UACAGAGGUGGCAAGCGUUGUUCGGAAUUACUGGGCGUAAAGGGCGCGUAGGCGGCCUUCUAAGUCAGACGUGAAAUCCCCCGGCUUAACCUGGGGAACUGCGUCUGAUACUGGGAGGCUUGAGUAUGGGAGAGGGAUGUAGAAUUCCAGGUGUAGCGGUGAAAUGCGUAGAUAUCUGGAGGAAUACCGGUGGCGAAGGCGGCAUCCUGGACCAUAACUGACGCUGAGGCGCGGAAAGCUAGGGGAGCAAACAGGG
rnacentral:rRNA from 1 species